UUGGAAACUGGGAGCGCUGUAAGAAAUCAUUACAAUAAAAGGUAGAACAGAUUCUAGCAAGUGUUCAAUCACGCAGCAUGGUGCCACUUAGAGGCAGAAGACCUUAAAACAACCAGCAAGAUGUCUGCAGAAGAAACCUCUGCUGCCAGCUCUCGGCACUCUGUAUCCUGUCAUUUGACACCUUUCAUCUCCGGUAAGUUUAAGUUCGGUGACGGGCUGCAGUAAAGGCUCGGUCAGCUAUCAGAACCUGGGCACUGCUGAUGAAGCUCAGUUCAGAUGUCGUGUGGGAAAGGGCUUGCUUGUGCAGUGCACUGAAUAAAGUCAGGCCUCAGGAAACACUGUGGGGUGAUAGCUUGCGUUGAACCAUGCUGUAUCACCAAUCGCUUCUCACUGGUUUUGGCUUUAAGGUUUUGGAAGCCAGGACCUGCAGAGCUGGUUUCUACCCACAGAGUUGGUGAGUCACUGGUUGUGGUCACCAGUGGGGUACCAGGAUCUCUCUUUCUGUGGGAAAGCAACUCCUGCAGGGAUUCACUGAUUACUUAGCCUACCUAAAAUGCUUUGCUUCAGAUGGAAGCUGUUAGGGAGGCAAAUGCUACGGGUUAUUGCUGAGAAGCGCUAAGGGGUCACACUAAGAUGCAGAUCAAACAGUCUCAGCUUUUGGAGUAUUGUGUGGUGAGUUGUUUCAGGCACCUCUAUAUUAGUAAUAAGAAAUGCAAACUAGUUGGUUUAGUCACGUAAUUAAAGAAAGAUGUGCAUUCCUGGAAUUUUACUGCUGUAGAAGAUUGAAAAUGUAUAGUUUCAUUUAAGUACAUGCUCACCCCGAGCCAGUAGAUUGGAUAUUGUUCCAAUUAUUCCCAUUAGCGUCUGAUUUACAAGCAUUAAUGUACUACCAUGAUCAGAGAAUAAAGUUCCUUAACAUAACCCA
rnacentral:lncRNA from 1 species